ensembl:processed_transcript 1700092K14Rik RIKEN cDNA 1700092K14 gene
ACAGUUAGUUGGUCCAGAUGGUGGAAAGCCUGUAUCCAAUACCUGGAGUGGUGGGAACAGGAAGAGAUCGGGCUGGCUGAACUCAGAGAGGACAGCAUGUGUGUCUGCCUUCGUGUGCACCGAGGGCAUGUCUGUGCACAAGACUGUAGUAUGGGCUUGCCGGUCCAUAGGGACACACACUCUGCUCCCUUCCACACUGGUACCUUGAGUGGUCCUGACCCAAGAUCCAGAGGCACUUACAGAAGCUUCAGCAAAACCAGACAAAACUUCCUUUCAAUCCAUUUAUCAAAACUGCCCGCAGCUCCGCUUCGGAGCAGGUACAACAAGAAUAAAAUAUUGAGCACAACCAGCAACCGCGAGACUGGAGGAGGCCAAUAAAUAAGAAGUUACUGAGG